AAUUUAAGCAUAUUAAUAAGCGGAGGAAGAGAAACUAAAGGGAGGAUUCCCCUAGGAACGGCGAGUGAAGCGGGAAAAGCCCAGCACCGAAUCCCCCCAGUCCCUUAAGACUGUCGGGACAUGUGGUGUACAGGUAGCCGGCGGCGUGGUGUUCGUGUUCCAAAGUCCUCUUGAUCGAUGCUCUCUCCAAUGAGGGUGUGAGUCCCGUUACGGGUUCCGUGCGCCACCUGUCGAGCUACCUAGGAGUCGGGUUGUUUGAGAACGCAGCCCUAAGUUGGUGGUAAACUCCAUCCAAGGCUAAAUACGGACACGAGACCGAUAGUCGACAAGUACCGUGAGGGAAAGUUGAAAAGAACUUUGAAGAGAGAGUUCAAGAGUACGUGAAACUGCAUAGAGCAAAACGGGUGGAUCCACAUUGCCGACCCGGGGAAUUCAGCCCGAAGCGAUGGUUCGGGGUUUUGCGUUGAUGCCGAUGUUCGCAUCCGGCAGCCGCAAUACCCGUAGCGUGUCCAUUAGCUGAUGGGUGCAUUUUCUUCGGGUCGAAAGCCACGACCGGUUCCGUUGGCGGCUCAUGAGCCAAGAUUCGGGAGGUCUCGUACCUACUGGUGGUGAAUCCCUCAUCACGGCCCGUUUUGGCGUGAGUGCUAAGGCAUCGGGGAUGCUACUGUGCCCCCCCACGGGCUAUCGUUCGCCGACGGAGUUCGUCGGAGCGACUUCUGCUGACUUGCGUGACUGUAUCUAAUAGUGAGCAGUAACGGCCGCCUCCGUCCGUAGGUGGACCUGGUGGGAGUCCAAGUAUUCGGUGGUGCUACCGGCUGGGUCCCCCCACCCGAACCCCGUCCUGGAAACACGGAACCAAGGUAGCCUUAACAUUGUGCGUCCAAUCAAACGAGAUCAACCGUAAAACCCUCCAUGGCUGCAAUUUGAUAACUGCAAAAGCCGCCUCAAUGGCUUGGCCCAUAGGCUAGAGAUACACGAUCAUUACAAGCUGUGGCGCACUGCCGGCCCGUCUCGAUAGCGUCGUCUACGAGACGGAGCAAGAGCGUACACGUUGGGACCCGAAAGAUGGUGAACUAUGACCGAGUAGGACGA
rnacentral:rRNA from 1 species